AAGGCCCCCCGCGGCUGACGGGCAGGUGGGCAACCACCAGGGAGCGGGGAAGCGCCUAACAUGCCGUCCGUCUGGGCAGUGCCU
rnacentral:ncRNA from 2 species